rnacentral:rRNA from 1 species
UUGAAAGGGAAACGAUUGAAGUCAGUCGUACCAGCGGGAAAUCAACCUUUCGAGUGGUGUUUUGGAGUUUUGAAGUGUGUCAAAACCUUUGAGAUUUUAAAAUUUUCGCUCUUUUGGUGUACUUUCUCGUGGGUAGGUUAACAUCGAUUUUGAUCAUCAUAAAAAGAUUGGAGGAAUGUAGCUUCGAUCUUGUAUUGAAGUGUUAUAGCCUUUGGUAAAUGUGAUGAUUAGGAUCGAGGAUUGCAACGAAUACCCUUCUGGGCUACCCGCCUGAUCUCUGAUACGUGGCCUUGGUAUCGAAAGCGUGCUUAUGGUAUUGAGGUAUUACGGUCAAAAGGUUAGAACGGAUUACAUUCGUUAAGGAUGUUGACGUA